GCUAAGCAAAAUAGAAAAAUAGAGGAAUUAAGUGUAUUAAAUAAAAUAAAAUAAAAAGAGAAUAAAGUAUUAUUGAACAAAGAGGAAAAAUAGUAAAGACUAUGUGGGCCAAGUCCAACAAAAAGAAAGAAAAGAAAAGGGAAUUAAUCCCAUAUGUAAGAAACAGAGAAACAAAGUAGUAGCAGAAACACAGAAACAGAGAAAGAAAACGCCAAGAAAGAAGAGAAAAGAGAGGGAGAAAAAAAGAGGAAAACAGAAGAAAAAAAUAACAACUUUCAUCCCAAAUUAUUAAGUUUGAGGUGAUUCAAAGACUCGAGAACGCAAUUUUGAUUUAUUGGGAAGUGUGCAUGAAUUGUGAAUUUCAGAUAUUGUUGCUGAGGGCGAGACUAUGGCUGAUGAGUUCGUUUGCGUAGAUCCUGUUGCGUUCGUGGAGGCUGUCGUUUUAGCUCUAUCUUGUUUAUAGCAUUUAUUUUCUUUCCAUGGGGUUGCAUCCCCGACAGUUAAAUUGAUGUUACUCUAUUAGAUGCUCCAUGGUCUUAGUGUGGGAUUUGGGCUAGAGAUUCUUAUUUGACGAUCAUUGGAUUUCUUAAAUUGAUACAUUAUUUUG